rnacentral:rRNA from 1 species
GGAAAGUUUUUCGGUUGGGGAUGGGCUCGCGGCCUUAUCAGCUUGUUGGUGGGGUAAAGGCCUACCAAGGCGACGACGGGUAGCCGGCCUGAGAGGGCGACCGGCCACACUGGGACUGAGACACGGCCCAGACUCCUACGGGAGGCAGCAGUGGGGAAUAUUGCACAAUGGGGGAAACCCUGAUGCAGCGACGCCGCGUGAGGGAUGACGGCCUUCGGGUUGUAAACCUCUUUCAGUAGGGAAGAAGCCUUUCGAGGUGACGGUACCUGCAGAAGAAGUACCGGCUAACUACGUGCCAGCAGCCGCGGUAAUACGUAGGGUACAAGCGUUGUCCGGAAUUAUUGGGCGUAAAGAGCUCGUAGGCGGUCCGUCGCGUCUGCUGUGGAAACGCAAGGCUCAACCUUGCGCGUGCAGUGGGUACGGGCGGACUAGAGUGCAGUAGGGGAGUCUGGAAUUCCUGGUGUAGCGGUGAAAUGCGCAGAUAUCAGGAGGAACACCGGUGGCGAAGGCGGGACUCUGGGCUGUUACUGACGCUGAGGAGCGAAAGCAUGGGGAGCGAACAGGAUUAGAUACCCUGGUAGUCCAUGCCGUAAACGUUGGGCACUAGGUGUGGGGCUCAUUCCACGAGUUCCGCGCCGCAGCCAACGCAUUAAGUGCCCCGCCUGGGGAGUACGGCCGCAAGGCUAAAACUCAAAGGAAUUGACGGGGGCCCGCACAAGCGGCGGAGCAUGCGGAUUAAUUCGAUGCAACGCGAAGAACCUUACCAAGGCUUGACAUACACCGGAAUGUGCCAGAGAUGGUUCAGCCCUUUGGGCUGGUGUACAGGUGGUGCAUGGUUGUCGUCAGCUCGUGUCGUGAGAUGUUGGGUUAAGUCCCGCAACGAGCGCAACCCUCGUUCUAUGUUGCCAGCACGUGAUGGUGGGAACUCAUAGGAGACUGCCGGGGUCAACUCGGAGGAAGGUGGGGAUGACGUCAAAUCAUCAUGCCCUUUAUGUCUUGGGCUUCACGCAUGCUACAAUGGUCGGUACAAAGGGUUGCGAGACCGUGAGGUGGAGCGAAUCCCAGAAAGCCGAUCUCAGUUCGGAUCGUAGUCUGCAACUCGACUACGGAAGUCGGAGUCGCUAUAAUCGCAGAUCAG